rnacentral:rRNA from 1 species
GGGCGUAAAGCGCGUGUAGGCGGAUAGAGUAGUCGGGUGUGAAAUCCCCUUGCUCAACAAGGGAACUGCGUCCGAAACCAUCUAUCUGGAGUGUGGUAGGGGAGCGGGGAAUCCCGGUGUAGAGGUGAAAUUCGUAGAUAUCGGGAGGAACACCAGUGGCGAAGGCGCCGCUCUGGGCCAUUACUGACGCUGAGGCGCGAAAGCUUGGGGAGCAAACAGGAUUAGAUACCCUGGUAGUCCAAGCUGUAAACGAUGGGUACUAGGUGUCGGAAGGUUAAGACCCUUCGGUGCCGUAAGCUAACGCAUGAAGUACCCCGCCUGGGAAGUACGGCCGCAAGGUUGAAGACUCAAAGGAAUUGACGGGGGCCCGCACAAGCGGUGGAGCAUGUGGUUCAAUUCGACGCAACGCGAAGAACCUUACCUGGACUUGACAUCUGCCGAACCCUGUAGAGAUACGGGGGUGCCCGCAAGGGAGCGGCAAGACAGGUGCUGCAUGGCUGUCGUCAGCUCGUGCUGUGAAGUGUUGGGUUAAGUCCCGCAACGAGCGCAACCCCUGUCCUUAGUUGCUAACGGGUCAAGCUGAGCACUCUAGGGAGACUGCCGGUGUCAAACCGGAGGAAGGUGGGGACGACGUCAAGUCCUCAUGGCCUUUAUGUCCAGGGCAACACACGUGCUACAAUGGCCGGUACAAAGGGUUGCCAACCCGCAAGGGGGAGCUAAUCUCAGAAAACCGGUCUCAGUUCGGAUUGGAGUCUGCAACUCGACUCCAUGAAGCUGGAAUCGCUA